ACCGCUUGAUCCUGGCGGACCCAACUGCUAUCGGGAUGAGACUAAGCCAUGCGAGUCGUGCGUUUCCUAGCCACGUUGGAGACGCGGCAUACGGCUCAAUAUCAUGUGGCUAACUUAGCCUUGGGACGGAGACACCCUCGGGAAACUGAGGUCAAUUUCUGAUAGAUGGGGAGGCCUGGAAUGGUUCCCCGUCCAAAAGGAACUGAGAACAUGCUUUCAGUUUCGCCCAAGGAUAGGGCCGCACCCGAUCAGGUCGCUGGUGAGGUAAUGGCUCACCAAGCCUAUAACCGGUACGGGCCGUGAGAGCGGGAGCCCGGAGAUGGGCACUGAGAUAAGGGCCCAGGCCCUACGGGGCGCAGCAGGCGCGAAAACUCCGCAAUGCGCGAAAGCGCGACGGGGUCAUCCCGAGUGCCGUCCGCUGAGGGCGGCUUUUGCCUGGUUUAACCAGCCGAGUGAAUAAGGGGAGGGCAAGUCUGGUGUCAGCCGCCGCGGUAAUACCAGCUCCUCGAGUGGUUGGGACGAUUAUUGGGUCUAAAGCGUCCGUAGCCGGCCGGAAAAGUUUUCCGUUAAAUCCAACGAUCCAAUCGUUGGGCCGCGGGGAAUACUCUUCGGCUUGGGGGCGAGGGAGGUCGGCGGUAGUCUCGGGGUAGGGGCGAAAUCCUAUAAUCCCGAGAGGACCACCAGUGGCGAAGGCGGCCGACUAAAGCGCACCCGACGGUGAGGGACGAAAGCUGGGGGAGCGAACGGGAUUAGAUACCCCGGUAGUCCCAGCUGUAAACGAUGCUGGCUAGGUGUUGGGACGGCCACGAGCUGUCCCAGUGCCGCAGGGAAGCCAUUAAGCCAGCCACCUGGGGAGUACGGUCGCAAGGCUGAAACUUAAAGGAAUUGGCGGGGGAGCACCACAAGGGGUGAAGCUUGCGGUUUAAUUGGAGCCAACACCGGGAAACUUACCAGGAGCGACGGUUGGAUGAAGGUCAGAUUAAAGGUCUUACCGGACUAGCUGAGAGGAGGUGCAUGGCCGUCGCCAGUUCGUGCCGUGAGGUGUUCUCUUAAGUGAGACAACGAACGAGACCCGCACCCUUAGUUGCCAUCGGAUUCCCUCGGGAUUCCAGGCACACUAAGAGGACUGCCCACGCUAAGUGGGAGGAAGGAACGGGCCACGGCAGGUCAGUAUGCCCCAGAUCUCCUGGGCCACACGCGAGCUGCAAUGGAUGGGACAAUGGGAUCCGACCUCGAAAGGGGAAGGCAAUCCUCAAACCCAUCCUCAGUUGGGAUCGAGGGCUGUAACCCGCCCUCGUGAACAUGGAAUCCCUAGUAAUCGCGUGUCAUCAUCGCGCGGUGAAUACGUCCCUGCUCCUUGCACACACCGCCCGUCGCUCCACCCGAGUUUGGUUCUGGUGAGGCGCGGCCAAUCUUGGCCGCGUCGAGCCGGAGUUAGGCAAGGGGGGAGAAGUCGUAACAAGGUG
rnacentral:rRNA from 1 species